GGGGUUGCAGCUCAGUGGCAGAGUGCUUGCUUAGCACGCGUGAGGCACUGAGUCCGAUUCUCAGUACCACA
rnacentral:tRNA from 1 species